AGUGAACGCUGGCGGUAGGCCUAACACAUGCAAGUCGAACGGCAGCACAGUAAGAGCUUGCUCUUACGGGUGGCGAGUGGCGGACGGGUGAGGAAUACAUCGGAAUCUACUUUUUCGUGGGGGAUAACGUAGGGAAACUUACGCUAAUACCGCAUACGACCUACGGGUGAAAGCAGGGGAUCUUCGGACCUUGCGCGAUUGAAUGAGCCGAUGUCGGAUUAGCUAGUUGGCGGGGUAAAGGCCCACCAAGGCGACGAUCCGUAGCUGGUCUGAGAGGAUGAUCAGCCACACUGGAACUGAGACACGGUCCAGACUCCUACGGGAGGCAGCAGUGGGGAAUAUUGGACAAUGGGCGCAAGCCUGAUCCAGCCAUACCGCGUGGGUGAAGAAGGCCUUCGGGUUGUAAAGCCCUUUUGUUGGGAAAGAAAAGCAGCAGGUUAAGACCCCGCUGUUCUGACGGUACCAAAAGAAUAAGCACCGGCUAACUUCGUG
rnacentral:rRNA from 1 species